rnacentral:rRNA from 1 species
UACAGAGGUCUCAAGCGUUGUUCGGAUUCAUUGGGCGUAAAGGGUGUGUAGGUGGCGCUGUAAGUCAGGUGUGAAAUUUCGGAGCUUAACUCCGAAACUGCAUUUGAUACUGCGGUGCUUGAGGACUGGAGAGGAGACUGGAAUUUACGGUGUAGCAGUGAAAUGCGUAGAUAUCGUAAGGAAGACCAGUGGCGAAGGCGGGUCUCUGGACAGUUCCUGACACUGAGACACGAAGGCCAGGGGAGCAAACGGG